GACUUGAUCCCAGGACCCCGGGAGCACGACCUGAGCCAAAGGCAGACCCAACCACUGAGGCACCCAGGCAUCCCUAGCUACUCAUUCCUCUGUCUUGGGCUUGUGCCUCCCCACAUGCAGCAUCCUGGCCCCACCAAGGUA